CUGGGACUGAAAGGAGUUAAAAGUGACUUGCCCAGGGAAAGACAGCUAAGCUUUCAACUGAUUCAUCUGUUGCUGGUCAUGUAUUCUUCCACAUCUGUAACUAGGACAUAUCCGAUACUACAGAGGCACUAAGAGCCACUGAAGCUUUUUGAAGAGAAGAGUGAAACAGAAAAUCAACCUAGCAGUUGUGUGAAUGAUGGAUUGGAAAGGGGAAAGAUGAGACAGGAAGAAUAAUUCUUCGGCUAUUGCAGUAGGGUCGCUUCCAGGGAAAUUAAUACAGCUUGUCAAGCACAUCUGAAAUAUGUGCUUCAAUCCAACAACAGCUCAAAGUGCUGAAAACUGGCAUGGAACUUCUCUGAAAAUUUUAAAUCUGGAGUGGGAAUGCCUAUUCUAAGAUAGUUUUAAAAGCUUUGGGAACUGGGUUUUUACAUGAACAUUGCUAAUACCUCUCAAUGUUUUUCCUCAUAUGUGUGUGGUGUAUGAUUUUUUUGACUUUUACUAACAAAAUUUAUUAACUACAUUUUGAAUGACAUAAAACAAUGUGAUAUUGCAACUCUUGACGAAAUAUACUCUAAUAGUCAGAGAUAUUUCAAUUUGAUUCUGUAAUCUUAUGCUGUUAAGAUCAUUAAAAUGCAAAUGAAUUACUGAAUUAAGCACACUUUCGCUUCACUCUUAGCACAAUUAAUAUUGUAUAAAAUUAUCUGCAUAAUUAUA